rnacentral:rRNA from 1 species
UACGGAGGUGGCAAGCGUUGUUCGGAAUUACUGGGCGUAAAGGGCGCGUAGGCGGUCUUGCAAGUCCUGUGUGAAAUCCCUCGGCUCAACUGAGGAACUGCACAGGAAACUGCUUGGCUUGAGUUCGGGAGAGGGAAGCGGAAUUCCGGGUGUAGCGGUGAAAUGCGUAGAUAUCCGGAGGAACACCGGUGGCGAAGGCGGCUUCCUGGACCGACACUGACGCUGAGGCGCGAAAGCUAGGGGAGCAAACGGG